GUGUGGCCGUUUCUCAAAAACUUGUGUCCGUUGGUUCAUCGUUUCUAACGUGAGCUCUGAAAUCAAUCCCAUUUCUUUUACGACGUGCUGCUGCUCCCUUCCUGCAUUAUUCGCCGGAUCAAGGAGCAUCAUUCGGAAAGCAGCUAGGCAACGUGAAAGUGAAUCUCUGCGGCUCCUUGUCGCACACGUGCGUGCUUUGCGAUUUGGAUGGCUCUCGAGCUUUUGCCAAAGAAGUCCCGAAACCGACCUGUCUCUGAGUGAGCAGUCGGAUUGCAGGAAUGCUCCCAGAGGCAAGCGUCCCACUGAAGGCGCGGGAAGGGGGAGACGGGCUUGCUCAAGAUUCAAUAUUCUGCAAUGGGGCGACGAAGGCGGUUUUCGGUCCUGUAAACCUGCAGCGCCGAAGCGUGGUGGGGCAGCCCUGCAGGCGGCUGAAGCGAGCAGCUCAGCAGAGGGCACUGACUCUUGACAAGCUGGCAGCCGUGGGCAUUAAGUUGUUUCUCUUUGCUCCCAACACGCUAGACUCUACCAUUUAUUUGCAGUCAUCAAUAUGACUU